rnacentral:sRNA from 1 species
GGAUGUGAGGGUGAUCUGGCUGCGACAUUUGUCACCCUAUUGAUCACCAGGGUGGAUUCAGCUGAUCUGGCUGGCGAGGUAGGUGUCCCUCAUCACUCCACACGUGUCC